rnacentral:misc_RNA from 1 species
CAAACCGCCUCUCUUACGGUAUACAUCUCAAAUGCAUAGCAAUGAUGGACGGUUUGUUCACCACAGUUGGAAAAAUUACAAAGGCAAAUUUAAGGAACGAUGACGACCUAAUAGAUAAGUUAAAUCAUCGAUACACAGUUGUAUUUCUGGUUAUAUUCACCGUUGUUGUCUCAACGACUCAAUAUGUUGGAAAUCCUAUUCAUUGUUGGUGUCCUGCGUACUUUACGAGUAAUCAUGAGGAGUUUGCCAAUAAAGUUUGUUGGAUUUCGAAUACGUAUUAUAUUCCUGACAGGGUUAUGGCUGGAACGGGAAACUUAAAAGAACGUAUAGGUUACUACCAAUGGAUUCCUAUAGUUUUAUUAGUGCAGGGAUUUCUCUUCUUUCUGCCUUGCGUUAUCUGGAGAGUAUUUAGUAGCCGAUCAGGUAUUAAUAUUCAUAAUUUGGUGGAGUCAUCCGAAACUAUACAGAAUGCUCUUUAUCCUGAACGAAGAGAUAAAACGAUAAAGUAUAUGAUAAGACACCUGGAUCAUUACCUGGAAUACCAAAGGGAAUAUAGGGGAGGUUGUUGUGUUGCUUGUAAACAUUUCUUAUCGAGACAUCUAUGCCUGAUAUGCGGCAAUAGGUCGGUGAUUAUUUGUCAAGUUUAAUAGAGAUUGAAAAGGUUAAAACUUUGAAAAUUCCCAUUAAAAAUGAAAAUGUUUUGAUUUCGCUACUCUAAAAUUAUUCCCAAAGUAAAAAGGUUGGAGAAAUUUAAUCCUUUCCUGUUUUUUCUCAUCUGAAAUAUUAAACUUGUAAUAAUUUUUAACUUUUCUCUCCUCAAAAAACUUUAUAAUCCCUUACUUUUUCUCAAGUUCUUCUUUUAUCCUUAUUUAUAUGUUAAAUUGAAAGUUUCCUUCUAUAAUUUAAAUUGUAUGAUUGUUUAUAUGAAGGAUAUAAAUCAAUUCAUUUUUUCAUUCAUCAUUUUCAAUUUUUUUUUCAAAACUGACCUAUUUAAAAAGAGUUCAAAAGUUUCUGAAGCUAAAAAACUCUAAGGAUUUUUAUAUGUUGAAAGCUCUCUUUCAUGACUGAUUUUAUAGGAUUGAGUAAUAUUUUUCUGCUUAAAAAGAUGAAACAAGUAAAUAACGGACCAAUUUUUUCUUCAGUAUUAUGAUAGUACUAAAAUCAUCUAAUUAGUGGUAUUAAGAUAACAUAAAAAGUUAAUUAGCGAAUAAAUUGACUUGUUUAUUUAAAGAUACACACAUAUAUAUAUAUAUACAUAUAUAUAUAUAUAUUUGUUUAUUUAUAUAUAAACUCUAUACAUUUAAUCUAGUAACUUGUGAAAUAAUCACUGACCAAUGUACCUUAUAAAAAGAUACGGAAAUUAUUUAGUAGCACUUUACAUGUCGUCGAAAAUAUUAUACUUUGUCAACGUAAUAGCUCAGUUAUUCAUGCUCAACGGCUUCUUAGGAACAGACUAUCAUCUGUACGGAUUUGAAAUUAUUAGAGAAUUAUUUUAUGGACGAGAUUGGACAGCGUCUAGAAGGUUUCCACGUGUAACAUUGUGUGAUUUCGAAAUCAGGCAAAUGGGAAAUUUCCAUAGGCAUACGGUACAAUGCGUUCUACCCAUAAAUCUUUUCAACGAAAAAAUCUACAUUUUUCUGUGGUUUUGGUUCGUUUUCGUUUCUACAGCGACUGCAGUUAGUUUUCUGAGAUGGUUAGUUUUCAUUGGUAUGAGAUACAGUAGAGUUCGAUAUAUUAGAAGACAUUUAAAAGUUAUGGAUAAAAUUCAAAGGGAUAAUGAAAGAGAAAGAAAAUUAAGCUAUAAAUUUGCAGAAACUUAUUUAAGACAAGAUGGAAUAUUUGUAUUAAAAUUAGUAGGAAAGAAUUCAACAGAUUUGGUUGUUGCUGAUAUCGUGGCAGCACUUUGGGAUAACUACAAAAAUAAACCAAUACAUGGUGGAAGACCAGCUGAUGAAUAUGACGAUUCAGCCAGUAUAACAUAGAAACAAGUUUGUUUAUUUAUAUAAUGAAUCUUUUUACGUUAUUUCUAACAGCUAAUUUAGGUAUUUAUAUUAUCAAGACAACUAAAAACAAAUCCGUAAUAUUCUAUUCACCUUAAUCAAGAGUUUUUUCACUUUUAUGUAUUCUUAUAUCAUCAUUAAAAGGUCAUAAAUUAACAUUAAUUAAAUAAUUUAUCAUUCAAUUUUUAUCUAUAAAUAAUAAGAAAUUCAUAUGAGAUAGCAGACAUAGUGAUAAUAGCAAUCGUUGUUGCGUUUGUUAUUGAUGCUGUUGUUAAUAUUAUGAUAGAAGAAAUAAUAGCGAGACUGAACAAAAGAAAUAAUAUAAAAGAAAUAAUAAAAACAUAUUAGAAAAUAGAAAUAAUGAGAACGAUAAUAUAGGAAAAGGAGAAGUAUAAACAAUGUAAAGAAAUAUAUACAAGUAAUAGAAAGUUAAUAGAAUAAUAGAAUAAAUUAUAAAUUAUUUAUAUAGCUAUAAUAUGGAAAUUAGCAUAAUUAUGAAUAUAUUAAAGCUAUUAGUGUAUUUAUAUAUAAUAGAAUUUCAAGGAACUUUUAGCAAAGUUUUACAAAAUCCGUCUAAAAUUUCAGAUAGAAUCUCAGAAAUUUUUCUCACUAUCGAUACUAAGAAUCAAAGUUUUUUUUUCACACGGAAAUCUUCUAACGGCAUCAUAAAACGCUUUUCUAAAAUACAAAAACUGCAAACGAUUCCAGAUCGUCUGACCCAGAAAACAGUACAAAGCAUAAUAAGUACAUUUCUGCUGUAGGUAUUUGCAAUUUGCUUACACAGGCAAGUUCUAUUAGUAAAAGUAAAUUAUUGUCUAAGUUGUUUUAAGGUCAAGUUAUUUGUUUGACGAACAAACUUUUAUUUUAUUAUAUACAAAUUUGCAAUGCUUUAUCGUAGCAAAAACUUCUGAAAUCAACACUAAAACCUUAUUUGCCUUAUCAGUUGCAGACAUUGGGAAAAACUAUCCAUUUCUCGGUAGAUAAGCUAGUUUUGCGUAUCUGAAUGGUAUUUUAUUCAAUAAGACAGCUCUUUCUUACCUCGUUAAUCAUUUCAUUAUUCAUUUUACAUGACGUUUCACUGGGGGCAAGUGACCUCAGGUGUAUUCUCAAAAGAAGAUGGUUAAAUUCCUAGAAAUAUCAGAUCAACUGCUUCUACCUACUGAUAAGUUUUCCCAUCUUUUAGUAUGCCCCUGCAGACAUUCCAACUGCACAUAUCUUCCCAAAGUCUUUCCAAAUAUGGAGCGAUGGUAGAUUAGUCAUGGAAGAUAGUAUGUUUUUUUUUAUAGACAAAUUCAAAGAAGAAAAAUAAGAAAACUGAUAACAAGAAAGAAGACAUUUAUCUUUAUGACUGGGAAAAUUUAAUGUCGUUAGAUAUUUUUUUAAAAGAGUGAGAGAGCGAAAAAAGAGGCUACAUACAUUUAAUUUUUGUCAGAAUAUGCAUUAAAAAAUAUAUUGUACAUUGUUAAUGAAAAUCUUUUCUAUUCAUAUAAACAAACAAAACGUUCAACUGUUAUUACAUUUAUAUUAUUUAUACAUGUUUAAAGAAAUAUAUAAAGCUAUAUAUAAAAAUGAUAUACCUUUAUAAUAAUUAUAAUUGUUAUACCGAAAUAUACAAAGAAUAU